rnacentral:lncRNA from 1 species
UCUGAGCCUUGUGUUACUCGCCUCUUUGGAUGAAAUGACAUCUUGUUAUACAUUUGCUAAAAUAAAUUACAGCCUUAGCGGGUAUUUACCUUUUUAAUAUUGUUCCACCAUACCAAAGCAUCACCAACUUAGGCUGUAAUUAAACACCAUGUUGGGAGCAAUGAGAUAUAUACUUAACAUAUUGGAACCAAAAGAAUGGCCCUCAACCUAGGUACAUCUGUGUCAUGUGCCUUGCACCCUCACCCGUCUCCGAG